AUUGAACGCUGGCGGCGUGCUUAACACAUGCAAGUCGAGCGGUAACAGGCGUAGCAAUACGUGCUGACGAGCGGCGAACGGGUGCGUAAUACAUGGGAAUCUGCCCUUUGGUGGGGAAUAACCCGGCGAAAGCCGGGCUAAUGCCGCAUAAGAUCUUCGGAUGAAAGCGGGGGAUCGUAAGACCUCGCGCCGAUGGAUGAGCCCAGGUCGGAUUAGCUAGUUGGUGAGGUAACGGCUCACCAAGGCGACGAUCCGUAGCUGGUCUGAGAGGACGGCCAGCCAAACUGGGACUGAGACACGGCGCAGGCUCCUGCGGGAGGCAGCAGUGGGGAAUAUUGGACAAUGGGGGGAACCCUGAUCCAGCCAUGCCGCGUGUGUGAAGAAGGCCUUAUGGUUGUAAAGCACUUUAAGCGAGGAGGAGGCUCUUUUGGUUAGUACCCAAGAUGAGUGGACGUUACUCGCAGAAUAAGCACCGGCUAACUCUGUGCCAGCCGCCGCCGUAAUAC
rnacentral:rRNA from 1 species